rnacentral:rRNA from 1 species
UACGUAGGGUGCGAGCGUUGUCCGGAAUUAUUGGGCGUAAAGAGCUCGUAGGCGGUCUGUCGCGUCGGUCGUGAAAACUUGGGGCUUAACCCUGAGCUUGCGGUCGAUACGGGCAUGACUGGAGUUCGGCAGGGGAGACUGGAAUUCCUGGUGUAGCGGUGAAAUGCGCAGAUAUCAGGAGGAACACCGGUGGCGGAGGCGGGUCACUGGCCCGAUACUGACGCUGAGGCACGAAAGCGUGGGGAGCAAACAGG